rnacentral:tRNA from 1 species
ACCUUGGUGGCUCAGAUGGUAAAGUGCCAGCUUGCAAUGCAGGAGACCCAGGUUCGAUCCCUGGUUUGGGAA